AGACGUCUACAUUAGAUACCCCUGUAGUCCCAGCCGUAAACUAUGCGCGUUAGGUGUAUCGGUGACCACGAGUCGUCGAGGUGCCGAAGAGAAAUCGUGAAACGCACCACCUGGGAAGUACGGUCGCAAGGCUGAAACUUAAAGGAAUUGGCGGGGAGCACCACAACAGGUGGAGCCUGCGGUUUAAUUGGAUUCAACGCCGGACAUCUCACCGGAUAAGACAGCUGAAUGAUUGUCAAUCUGAAGGUUUUACAUGACUAGCUG
rnacentral:rRNA from 1 species